rnacentral:tRNA from 1 species
UCCCAGGUGGCUUAGAUGGUAAAGCGUCUGUCUGCAAUGCAGGAGACCUGGGUUCGAUCCCUGGCUCGGGGA